rnacentral:lncRNA from 1 species
UUUAAUCACAUCUUGGAGACCCUUGUGCAUCCAAGACUUGUAUAUUUGAUGUGAUUGUUUUUAUGAGGAUAAGCUAUAAAAAAUAUUUUUAUUUUAUAAACUUAUAAUUUAUUUGAGCAAUUAGUAAUGACUAGAGGCCUAGUGCUUUCUUAAAGUAAACUCUCUCUGCUAGUCCAAUACCAUUUAAGAACCUUUACAUCAAUGUGGUUCCUUAUAUAAACACCCCACAACAAAAACUUUCCAUUUUAAAAUCCACUUGUCUUAUCAUCUUGUACUCACAC